rnacentral:ncRNA from 31 species
GGUUUAAUUACCCAAGUUUGAG